CUGCGGGACGCGUGCGGUGCGGGGCUGCGCCGUUCCCGCCCGUAGCUGUGAGGAGCGAGAGCGCGCGUGCGGCGGGAUGGGCGCGUGAGCGCUGCCGCGCGCCGUGCAGGGGGGCUCGCGCUGUGCCCGGCUGAGGAGGAGCGCACGAGGGCAGCGCGCAGCGGUUGCCGCAGUGGGAGUCGCGAAGGGCGGCGGCGGCGCGCGGUCCGACGGGCGGUCCCGGGCGCGGGAGAGAGCCCGGCACUGCCGGCAGCGCCGCCGCUGUGGAAGCGCCCCGCGUUGUGGUGCGGCCGCGUGUGAGGGAGCGAUCGCGGCUCUGCGCCCGCGGGAGUCUCCGCUGCUGUACCGCCGUCCAGAACGCGCUCGGUCAGGCGAGGCCGCGCUGUUUCGCAGCGGACGGGAGCGAGGCGGGAAGCUCCGUCCCCGGGACCGUGUAAAAGGCAACAAGAUAAGUAACCCUAGAAGAAGAUAAAAAUGCACUGAAGAAAUGGACAUCCUGGAACAUCUCAUUCUCUGUGCAGGGCAGGUUCCUUUCCCUUUACGUAAACAAAGAGUCAGAACGUGAGGCCUACAUCUCUCUUCAAAUUUAUGGCUGAAGUGACUGAAGUUCACAUAGUUAACAAGUAAUUGAAAACAAGCAUCAGAUAAACCCAGAAGCAGUGCUGCACCUUUGGGAAAACAUUUUUGUGCACUGAAAGACUUUAUUCAUUGGUGUAACUAGUGAAGCUUUCCUUAUGUAUUGUUGCUAGUUCCUAAAGUUCGGAGGAGGGAAGAAAAGACAUAUAGUAUGCAUUAUAACAAAUUAUCUGGAGAAUUUGGAGGAGUCUUUUAAACAUCAGUUCAUAUUCAAGUCUGAUGAUACUUAAUAAUGGAUCCUGUUAAAGGUAGGUGGUAAUUCCAUUUAAUGAAGAUAGUUACUAGUAACUGUCUUUUUCAAAGAGCUCUUUUUAACUCCUGUGAUCAUUGCUUUUAUUAUUUCUUUGUCUGUGACACAUGCAUAGAAAUCUAAUUGUAGUUGCUGCUACUUUUCAGGAUAUUUGAACUUGCUUGUUAACUGCUAUGAACAAUAUCAUCCAUUUCUUCCUUUCUGUGGUAAUUACCUACCGACAGGUGGAAUUUCAUGCCAGCAUACUAUUUCACAGCGCUUCACAUCCUUGCCAACUCAAUGGAUAUACUCACUCUUAGAUUAUAUGUGGCACUAUGGUUCCCAUGCACUUACAUGCAUUUAAUGGGGGAACAUUUGGCUUAUCCUGAAGUGUACAGCUGCUGGGGAAGCAGCAUUAGCCUAAAAUGAUAUUUUUAGUCAGGAAUUCUUUUUAAUGAUGAUAGAAGGCUUUCUGGUAAUAUCCGAAUUAAAAAGCUCCCAUUAACAUAUGUAAUUUUGCCACCUCAGAAGAAAAUCGCUAGCAAUGCCAGUAGUAGCCACAUUCAUGUUUACUUUACAAUUAUAAUUUUUGGAGGCAAUUUGUGAGUAUACCAGGCAUGGAAUCUAGGCUAUACUUCUGCCUGUUAAUCAGACACUUUAAUCAUGUGCAGCCUGGACCACCAAGGGGGUGUGCAGUAGCCCAAUCCUUGGGAGCAAAGACUACUUGUGGAAUUCUUUCAUGCGGCUCCUGACAAUGCCAAGGAAAAACAUCAAACCCUAUAGCAGGAUUGGAUGGUGUGACAUCUAUACCUCAGGCAUUUUGGGUGAGGUUUAUCCUAGUUCACUCUAAUGCAUAGAAGAGCUGCACAAUAUAGUAAUUGCAGUCUUGGGGCAUAACUUCUGUUUUAUUUUCAACAUAGAAUAAGGCAGUUUACAUACUCAGAAACUGCUCUGUAACGUGAACCAAGCAGGUAAGUUAGGAUGAUGGGGGUAUGUUUGCUCGAGAAUCGGACUUCUUGUCAAAACAAAAAUAUUAAGCCACUAUUAACCAAAAGUAUGUCAGUGAUAGAAGUACAAUGCUUCUUUUAGAUCUCCAGUGCUUGACUGGCUACCCAGGAAAAGAGUUUACAGAGCCAAACUCUCAUCUGCCUCAUUUCAAAGAAAUCUGAUGUCAGUUUUUCCCAGGGGUUUUGUCAACUCCUAAACUGGCUUAAAAUGGUGCUAGAUGUGAGGGGAAAAAAGUGACAGGAACCCUAUAAAGUCUAUGCAUUCUUAAGCUGGAACUGAGGUUAGGCAGACUUUGGCCCAGUCCUUGACCCCACUUCUAAGUACAAGCUUCCGUGUGGUUAGGCAGAUGGUUCUGAAGACUUGCUAAAAACACGCAUGUCUGUUUCUCAUGCAUGCAAAUUUGGCCUCUCUUAAUUCAUUAGAGAAAGUCAUCCCAAAGAAAACAUAAAAGAUGAAAAUGUAAUUCCCAAAGUAACUUACAUUCCCCUAGUGUUAAUUGAACAGGAUUUUAAGAAGAUUAAAAAUACUUUCAAUCAGAGAUGAAGUGUAUUUAAUCUUUUAUUGCAAAAUCUCUUGUUGCUAAAUGUCAGGUUAGAAGCUAUUCUAAGGACAUGGAAAAGAACAGCUAAUGACUAAUCUAUGUGAGCUUAUUUUCCUGGAAUUUGGUGCUGUGGGAGUGCUAAUGUGCUUAAGUCGAGAGCGUGUUAACCACUGUUUAUCUACAUCUCUUCUGAAUCUGGUUAAAUAAGCUCGUAGUUAAAAUCCAUGCAGUCUAUACUAACUCCCACUGUAGCAUUUGCAGCAUUAGCAAAAGUGAAGCAUUUUGCAAAUGCUCACAAAUGCAGCGCUUUACUUUCAAAUCCAGAAGAAAAGUGAAAAUUCUACCUGUGCUUAGCAAACUUACAAGACACCAUCAUAUGCUAAUAAGCACUGUAACUCCUUCAGAAGGCCUCUUCUAAUUUCUUGAACACAUAAGAGCUCUUGUUUUUUGAUUGCUCUGUUUAAGGCUCAUGAUGUAAAGAACCCAUUCACAAGCCGAUAAUAGAAAUCACCAUGCACAUCUUCAUAAAUUGCACUUUUAUUUUAAAUACAGCUGCAUUCUAUGUGGUAGAGACAGAGGUCAAUCUCUUAGUUACAACCUGUGUGACAUUUUUAUGAAUUUGACAGCAGCAAGCAAGUAUAUUAAUGCUUGUAUUUCUGUGAAAGGAUCGAAAGAUGCUGGUAGGUAAGCUAGCAUUACCUACAGAUAAGUAACAGCAACAAAAGAGGUAGUACCUCUUUUUGAAGGUCAAGCAAUCAAUCAGUGACAGAGUAGUCUGUAUUACUCAUAAAAUUACACUUGCCUUUUUGAGCCUGGAGAACUCUUCCUCUUUUCUCCUCCCAAAUAAUUUUGUCUCUCUAAUUUUGUCUUUUGCUUUUUUCACUUCAUCUUUCUUUACUUAACCUCUGACUUUCUCCAGUGCUAUAGAAAAGGACGAGGAACCAGCACAGCCAGACUCUUGUCUUUGUCCAGCACUGCCUUUUAAUUUGUGCGAGAGAACAGUAGGAGAGAUCACUUCAUGCUGUGUAUAUUGCUGGCGUGCAGAGUCAGGAAAAACAGACACACUCCUGAUUUGCUUUGAGAACGACUCCCUAAGCCAGGAUGCUAUUCCGAUAAUGAAGCAGCCCCGUGGUGCUAGGGCAGCCUGGUAACUUUUGUUGUAAUACUUAAAUCCUGUGCACAUGGCAACUUUUUUUUGCCAGCUCUGCUCUGCUAGCUCUUGUUACGUUCAUAAAUGUGUCAGAUUUUCAGUUUUUAAGUUAUCCCAAUAAAAAAAGAGAACAGUCUUUCUCAUUGAUUUGCGAGUAUCCUAUUUUUGUCACAGUUGUCUUAUUUUGAAUGUGAAUGACCUAGAUUUAAUUUUCUAACCUGAAAAAGAGGUGUAAUGUAGAAGAUCCAACAAUUAAAACUAUGCGAAAUAUACUUUGAUGUCCUUGAAUGUUGCAGUAUUCCUUCAGCUGUUCUGACUUUGAAUUCCCUAAAUUGAGGUAUGAAGCAGGUGAAAGGCUCAGCCUGUUCUUCUUAAAAGGUACUGCUGUUCCUAGGAUAAGCUUUGUUGCUGUGUGGUAAAUAUUUGAGGAAGUGAAUAAAUGCAAUUCAACAGUU